rnacentral:lncRNA from 1 species
CUACAUCUCCUCUGUGCACCAGUGCGUGUCAAUGGGUUUGUUUGCAAGAACCCAAUGGAUGCCAACGCUGAUGACUUCUUCAAGGCAGCCGCCCUCGACAAGCCUAGGGUGACCAACAAGGUUGGGUCCAACGUUACCUUGAUCAACGUCAUGCAGAUUGCUGGACUCAACACCCUCGGCAUCUCAAUUGCACGCAUCGACUAUGCUCCCUUGGGUCAGAACCCACCACACACGCACCCUCGUGCCACUGAGAUCCUCACGGUGCUCGAGGGGACACUAUAUGUCGGAUUUGUCACGUCCAACCUGCCCGCCCCCAACAGAAACAAGUUCCUCUCCAAGGUGCUCAACAAAGGUGAUGUGUUUGUCUUCCCCGUGGGGCUCAUUCACUUUCAAUUCAACCCCAACCCCCACCAGCCCGCCGUUGCCAUUGCCGCGCUCAGCAGCCAGAACCCAGGGGCUAUCACAAUUGCCAAUGCUGUUUUUGCGUCAGACCCAACAAUAUCAGAUGAUGUUCUUGCCAAGGCGUUUCAGGUGGAAAAGAAUACAAUAGAUUGGCUCCAGGCUCAGUUCUGGGAGAACAACCAAAACUAAGUCAGGCAUUGGGUGAUUACCCGGAAGAUUAGUGCAUAAACCAAGGAAUUAGUUAAGUUUCUAGACAUGCAUCUUAAGCUGUAAAAUUAAUGGAGCACAUGUCAGGUCGGUGUGUGUAUGUAAACAUUGAAUGCAUUUCUUCCUUCCAAAUAAUUGACAAUACCAUUUUUUUUAUCACACUGAUAUGAUCUCAUAUGCUUUUUUGGUUAUGAUGUCUCGUAUUUCUCACAACAAAUCAAAAUUUCGGUUCUUUUCCCCUUGUUCUGAAACAAUAGAUGAUUAGGUUAAAAAAGAAACAAUACACAAUUAUGUGGUAAUUUAAAUAUGUUUGAUGCUAGGGUUGAACACCUAGGACUUUCUUGCAAUACAUGUGAAGUAUGCGAUGGUUGGAGCCCGAUUGUGCUCAUGAUUGAAACGUGAAAGUUGAGUGUGCAAAAGUUGCUUCCUUGAGUCGUUGUUCUGGUAUCUCGCUUUCUGGUGCAUGUAAUAGGAAAUUUACGGUUCCUAUGUAAUGUUUUAGAUUCAUAUUGGUUCAAACUCUUGCAAGUUCGAUUGGCGGAUGCUUUGAUGGGAGUUAAUGAGGUGAUUCGUUUUAUCAAAAAACUCGUAGCAUUAUUUGUUUUUCUUAAGUUGAGAACUAGAAAUACUCCCUCGAUUCCUAAAUAUAGAUCUUUGUAGAGGCUCCUACAUGGACUAUAUACGGAUGUGUGUAGACAUAUUUUAGAGUGUAGUCCAUAUUAAAAUCUCUAGAAAUACUUAUAUUUAAGAAGAGAGGGAGUACGAUUUUCACCCAAGUUCUAGAACCUGGAUAUACCGGAGACCAGGUUCAAAAAAUCAGCUCCAUCAAUAUACAGAAUAAACGAUUAUUACCUACCCCCUCCCCCCCCCCCAAAAUAACAGAUUAUAAUUUGAGUUGCUUGUUUGUAACAAGCUUGUCAUAGAAGUAUUUUAUCCCUAAAACGUACUUCGGCCUGCUUCCCAUACAUAAAGUCCAAUGCUUACAAGGUGUGGAGGAAAUCAUCAUACACGAUGAUGGAAGAAAGCUUGGCAAAACAAGCCAAACAUGCUAACAAGCACAUGAAGUGCACAAUUAGAUGCCUCCAACAUGCCAUCGAGAGGAAGAACAUGAGAGGUUGGACCAACUGAAGAUUCAACUAGCACCACUGGCGACAUUCAACCACGCGCCAGUUGGAGGAAAAUGCUGGACUUCAUCGCGCCAUCGCCAGCCAAUGGAUGUCGAAGAGGACCAUCUAACUAAAGCAAGGAACGUUGACUGCGAGCAGACAUGAUGAAAGGAUGACGUUGUUGCGUGUAGAAGAUAGGUGCAAGAAAAACCGUGAGUCACGGGAGGUGAGGUAGGGUCAAUUGUUUCGUCAUACCGUUCCAAACAAGCCACCACAAAUGAAGGACAACUGCACUCACUAGUGACUCCCCGAAGAGGGUCACGACGCAAUACGCCGCCACCAUCCAUCUGUAUGUGCGCAUAAGGGUUUUCACCUUGAGUUGAGAGGGCGAGAGAGCCAUGGCGACGACCCCAAGAGGGACAUGACUACCAAGACAUCACGUUACCAGCACGGAGGCGUCGAGCUUUCGCUUGGACCACAACUCACACUUAGUCAAGGGGACUUGGGCCACCAGAUCCACCAUGAUGGGCCCCAGACUCCAGAUUAGGCUCGACCAGGCCCAAGCCCACGACCAUGAACAGAUCCAGUCGAGCCUAGUAGUGCCCACGAACCCACCUAACCAUUCCGGGUGGGUGCAGGGAGGAGCUCACCGGUGGCGGAACCUCUCCCAUGAGAGGUGAUGGGCAACCACGUCAUGUCUGACCACAGUCACCCCUCACAAGUCAACGACCAUGAUGCUGGUUGAUCUGGGAAAACACCGACUUUUGGCAGAGUUCCGUUACCCAGUCAAUGACCAGGUGAACCACGUUCCCACAAGCCACGCCUUGCAACCUCAUGCCAACGGCUUGCUUCCGGCUGUGAGGGAUAGCAGCGCCAAAAGUGUGAGGUCCUAGGAGCAACCCAGAGAGACCAGGGAGUGGAGUGGAGAGACGGGACACAACGCUGCUGCCUAAAGUAACCCCGGGCUUUGCUGUGCAUGAUGUUGAUCGACGACGGUGUGGGAAGGAUGAGAGUGCGGGGUCCUAGGGACGGCGGCCGAGAUCGUCUCUCAUGUCGUCCACGAGGAUGAUGUUGGGUCAUGUAUUUUUUGGAUGCAUUUUAUUUGUCUGAUGGGAACAUAUUUUUUGUAUCAAAACUACCAACAACACUUAAUGUAAUUAACCAUUUUAACACAAUUUUGACCGAGUAAUAUCUUAUUGAUGUGAUGAUAACAGGGGCGGUACAUAUAAUAGUUGUGUAUUAGGUGCAUUCAUGCAUGGAGUAACACACCUCUGACUUAUUCCUCAUUGACACAUGCGUCAUCUUCCAACCUAAUAUUUUUUUAUAUCACUAGAUGACUCAAAUUGCAAAGUUUUUCAGUUUAUUUUUUCCAUUGGUUUUGAUGAAUGGUAAGAUAUUGCAUUAUAUCUCUGGCCACGCUUUUUACCAUAUGUAUGUUAAGUUGUUAACGCACAUCGCUAAAUGUAUAAUUAUGUGAAUGUUCUUUUUAUCCCAUGACAUAUCUCGUGCAUAGUGUUGUUCAUGACUAAUCCGGUGGCAAAUAUAUAGUUUGCUUAUGUUAGUGGCCACAUCUUGAAAAGCUUGAUUGCACGCAUUCUGUAGCAACUUAAAAUAAUGGAGAGAAUAGACCAAGCUAACAAGGUGACCUUUUCUAGGUAGAAAACGAUUGCUUUACAUAACUUCACAUAUCUCAACUGCUCUUUGAUCUCGUGCGCAUCAAUUCUCACUAUGACCAAGUAUAAGUAUAUGGUACCUAAUAAACUAUGGUGGUGGUUGGUGCCUUUUCAUGGAACCAACCCUGCAUGCAUUGUGCUGACUUGGAUGAGAUGGAUAACGUAAUUACUACUGAUAUGUACAUAAAAAGAUUCAGUAGCGCUUAAGCAAAUUAAAAGCAAACUUGAGAAGUUUAUGACAAAAUUAAUCAGAAGCCAAUAGACAAUUAUAUGAUUAUAUGGUAAUGUGCUCACAGGUUGCAAUGUGCAAGCUGAAUGUGCAAAAGUUGCUUCCUGGAGUCGUUGUUAUGGUCUGCCUUUCCUGGUGCAUGUCAUAAGUAGUUUACGGUAUUUCUAUUUUUCUUGAGUGUUUUGUUUUAGCUUCCUUUUGGUUCAAAAAUCUAAGUUUGAUUGAUCAUUCCCCAGCAAACUUUUUUAGAUAUUUGACCCCACAAUAAAACUAUUAUUUGAGUUCUUUUUCUAACCAGCUUGUGAUAGAAGUAAUUAAAUCAUUUGAUGAAAACUUCUUUCUAUCUAAAACAGCCAACACACACCUCGAAGAAAUUAAUAAGUUUAUGACUGGUUGCCCGACCUAGUCUAGUCAUUGGAUGAGUACUUACUGGUGCCGUGAACCUAGUCACGAAGGCAAACCAGAUUGUUAGAUUUAUACACUGAACUGGUCAUGCAUGAUAAAACUCUUAGCAAGAGGGUGUUGACUAGUCUUGCUAAGAUCGUAUGGAAACUUCCUGCUCUCCAUCAUCAUGACCUUUGUAUCAACUCUCCUUUUGGUUGGGUAUUUCGUGCAUUAAUGUCGCCGCUUCUUCCUGUAAUUAAGUACUCAACCACUUCGAGAGACAUCUGACAAAGUAAAUAUCGAAUUGACAUGUUGAUAACGUACAGGGGCUGCUAUAAAUCCUCUAACUACUCCGUCGUCUUAUGUUGCUGGAUUUCAUGACAAAUAUAUUGGCAAAUAAUAUAUAGUUUCAUAGUUUGAAAAGCGGGACUGCGCACAUGAUUCUAUAUCAACUUCUGGAAAGAACCUGUAGUAGUAGUCACUCUGUAUGUCUUUAGAAGUCAUGCAGACAUGAAUCAAGCGCAUGUGCAAAUAGGUGACUUUGUCUAUGUCGGCCCCGAGUUAGAAAAUGAGUGAUUGCUUUACAUGACAUGGCUUUUCUCAACUGCUCUUUGACUGGUUUCGUACGCAUUGGCUCCAACUAUGACCAAGUAUAUGAUAUCUAAUUUUACUAGUGUCAGAUGUUUCUUGUCUUAAUUAAAUAUCAUUUUCUUGACAGUGAUGUGUGGUGCAUUUUCUAGGAAUCAGUCCUGCAUGCAUUUCGGGACUCAGGUGAGAUGGAGAAACAUUCAUAAUUACUACUCAGCCGAACACAUCACCACAGAGUAGCUAUUAUAUGGCUGUAUACCCUGCAUUGCUUCUUUGAAGGGAAAACAUGUCUUAAAAGGUAACUCAUAAAGUUUAUAUAAAAUAGUUUAAUCAGCCAUCAUAGACCAUUUCAAUAUGUUGGUCGGUUCCAGUUGGCCAAGUCUAUUAUUGCUCACGAGUUCAUGCACUGCUUGCUGCGCCUAUAUAAACACAUACAUUCCCGGCAUAUCCAAACCAUCACUCACGCCACAACCACAAACAGGAACACAAGACAGGGAAAUCAAUAAGAUGGCAUCCUCCUGUUCCUUCCUUCUCCUCGCUGCUCUUCUUGCGUUGGUCUCAUGGCAGGCCACUUCCUCCGACCCUAGCCCACUCCAAGACUUUUGUGUGGCCGACAUGCAUUCACCAGGUACAGUACGGCUUCUUACCAUGCUUUCACCAAAUACAUAUGCUGAAAUUAAUUUCUAAAAAUUAUAUGCAUGUUCAUAUCACUUCCUAGUAAUACCCAAGCUUACACUCUACAUCUCCUCUAUUCACCAGUGCGUGUAAAUGGGUUUGUUUGCAAGAACCCUAUGGAUGUAAACGCUGAUGACUUCUUCAAGGCAGCCGCCCUCGACAAGCCUAGGGUGACAAACAAGGUUGGCUCCAACGUCACCUUGAUCAACGUCAUGCAGAUUGCUGGACUCAACACCCUCGGCAUCUCAAUUGCGCGCAUCGACUAUGCUCCCUUGGGUCAGAACCCGCCACAUACGCACCCUCGCGCCACUGAGAUCCUCACGGUACUCGAGGGGACACUGUAUGUCG